GACGAACGCUGGCGGCGUGCUUAACACAUGCAAGUCGAACGGAAAGGCCCUGCUUUUGUGGGGUGCUCGAGUGGCGAACGGGUGAGUAACACGUGAGUAACCUGCCCUUGACUUUGGGAUAACUUCAGGAAACUGGGGCUAAUACCGGAUAGGAGCUCCUGCUGCAUGGUGGGGGUUGGAAAGUUUCGGCGGUUGGGGAUGGACUCGCGGCUUAUCAGCUUGUUGGUGGGGUAGUGGCUUACCAAGGCUUUGACGGGUAGCCGGCCUGAGAGGGUGACCGGCCACAUUGGGACUGAGAUACGGCCCAGACUCCUACGGGAGGCAGCAGUGGGGAAUAUUGCACAAUGGGCGGAAGCCUGAGGCAGCAACGCCGCGUGCGGGAUGACGGCCUUCGGGUUGUAAACCGCUUUCGCCUGUGGCGAAGCGUGAGUGACGGUAAUGGGUAAAGAAGCACCGGCUAACUACGUG
rnacentral:rRNA from 1 species